rnacentral:rRNA from 1 species
GAUGAACGCUGGCGGCGUGCUUAACACAUGCAAGUCGAACGGAAAGGCCCAAGCUUGCUUGGGUACUCGAGUGGCGAACGGGUGAGUAACACGUGGGUGAUCUGCCCUGCACUUCGGGAUAAGCCUGGGAAACUGGGUCUAAUACCGGAUAGGACCACAUUUUGGAUGGUGUGGUGGAAAGUUUUUCGGUGUGGGAUGAGCUCGCGGCCUAUCAGCUUGUUGGUGGGGUAAUGGCCUACCAAGGCGUCGACGGGUAGCCGGCCUGAGAGGGUGUACGGCCACAUUGGGACUGAGAUACGGCCCAGCCUCCUACGGGAGGCAGCAGUGGGGAAUAUUGCACAAUGGGCGCAAGCCUGAUGCAGCGACGCCGCGUGGGGGAUGACGGCCUUCGGGUUGUAAACUCCUUUCGCUAGGGACGAAGCGCAAGUGACGGUACCUGGAGAAGAAGCACCGGCUAACUACGUG